rnacentral:rRNA from 1 species
GACUAACGCUGGCCGCGUGCUUAACACAUGCCAGCCGAACGGAAAGGCUCUGGUUUUGUGGGGUGCUCGAGUGGCGAACGGGUAGGUAGCCCGUGAGUAACCUGGCCUUGACUUUGGGAUAACUUCAGGUAGGUGGGGCUAAUACCAGAUAGGAGCUUCUGCUGCCUGGUCGGGGUCAGAAUGUUUCGGCGGAUGUGGUUGGACUCGCGGCUUAUCAGUUUGUUGGUGGGGUAGUGGCUGCCCAAGGCUUUGACGGGUAGCCGGCCUGAGAGGGUGACCGGCCACAUCGGGACUGAGAUACGGCCCAGACUCCUACGGGAGGCAGCAGUGGGGAAUAUUGCACAAUGGGCGGAAGCCUGAUGCAGCAACGCCGCGUGCGGGAUGACGGCCUUCGGGGUGUAAACCGCUUUCGCCUGUGACGAAGCGGGAGUGACGGUAAUUGGUAAAGAAGCACCGGCUAACUACGUG